GAGGGUAUAGCUCAGUGGUAGAGCACGUGCCUAGCAUGCACAAGGUCAUGGGUUCAAUCCCCAGUACCUCCA
rnacentral:tRNA from 1 species